rnacentral:rRNA from 1 species
ACCCGCUGAACUUAAGCAUAUCAAUAAGCGGAGGAAAAGAAACCAACAGGGAUUGCCCUAGUAACGGCGAGUGAAGCGGCAACAGCUCAAAUUUGAAAUCUGGCUUUCGGGCCCGAGUUGUAAUUUGUAGAGGAUGAUUUUGAUGCGGUGCCUUCCGAGUUCCCUGGAACGGGACGCCAUAGAGGGUGAGAGCCCCGUCUGGUUGGAUGCCAAAUCUCUGUAAAUCUCCUUCGACGAGUCGAGUAGUUUGGGAAUGCUGCUCUAAAUGGGAGGUAUAUGUCUUCUAAAGCUAAAUACCGGCCAGAGACCGAUAGCGCACAAGUAGAGUGAUCGAAAGAUGAAAAGCACUUUGAAAAGAGAGUUAAAAAGUACGUGAAAUUGUUGAAAGGGAAGCGUUUAUGACCAGACUUGGGCUUGGUUAAUCAUCUGGGGUUCUCUCCAGUGCACUUUUCCAGUCCAGGCCAGCAUCAGUUUUCGCCGGGGGAUAAAGGCUUCGGGAAUGUGGCUCCCCUCGGGGAGUGUUAUAGCCCGUUGUGUAAUACCCUGGUGGGGACUGAGGUUCGCGCUUCUGCAAGGAUGCUGGCGUAAUGGUCAUCAACGACCCGUCUUGAAACACGGACCAAGGAGUCGUCUUCGUAUGCGAGUGUUCGGGUGUCAAACCCCUACGCGUAAUGAAAGUGAACGCAGGUGAGAGCUUCGGCGCAUCAUCGACCGAUCCUGAUGUUCUCGGAUGGAUUUGAGUAAGAGCAUACGGGGCCGGACCCGAAAGAAGGUGAACUAUGCCUGUGUAGGGUGAAGCCAGAGGAAACUCUGGUGGAGGCUCGCAGCGGUUCUGACGUGCAAAUCGAUCGUCAAACAUGGGCAUGGGGGCGAAAGACUAAUCGAACCUUCUAGUAGCUGGUUUCCGCCGAAGUUUCCCUCAGGA